GUAGGGAAUAUUGGGCAAUGGAGGCAACUCUGACCCAGCCAUGCCGCGUGCAGGAAGACGGUCCUCUGGAUUGUAAACUGCUUUUGAAUGGGAAGAAACGUAGCUUUGCGAAGCUAUUUGACGGUACUAUUAGAAUAAGCACCGGCUAACUCCGUGCCAGCAGCCGCGGUAAUACGGAGGGUGCAAGCGUUAUCCGGAUUUAUUGGGUUUAAAGGGUGCGUAGGCGGCGUUAGAAGUCUGGGGUUAAAGGCGGCAGCUUAACUGUACGCAUGCCCUGGAAACUGUGAAGCUUGAGUGACUUGGAGGUAGCUAGAAUUCCCUGUGUAGCGGUGAAAUGCAUAGAUACGGGGAGGAAUACCGAUUGCGAAGGCAUGUUACUACGAGUAAACUGACGCUGAUGCACGAAAGCGUGGGGAUCAAACAGGAUUAGAAACCCGGGUAGUCC
rnacentral:rRNA from 1 species